CUUGGUGAUUCCCUGUUCUGUUCAUUCCCCCUGGGGCACCUGGCACUGACCACUGUUGGAAGACAGGACGCUGGGCUUGAUGGACUUUGGUCCGACCCAGUGUGGCCGUUCUUAUGUUCUGGUUUCUAAAGUGUCCUGUGCAAUGAUCGGAACAUCCCAGCUGAUUGUUUCCCCCAUUGUCUGUGUAACAGCAUCCCUUCUCAUAGAUUUUUAUCUUGGGAAACCACCCCACAGCCCCUCCUUCGUCAGGCUUGCAUUGUCUUUUAAUGGCACUCUCACUGCCCAGGCAGGGGAAUGGACCAUGAGAACAAUCUGUGGGUGGGAGGGGAUUUGCCAUCUCUGGACAUUUUGCUGUAGUUCAGCCAGGGGUUCAGGGAAGUCCUGUGGCCAGUGGAUACAGGGGUCAAAUGAUCACAGUGGUCCCUUAGGGCCUUGUAAUUAUAAUCCAAGACCAGGCGACCCCUUCUCUGCUGCUGUUGGCAAAAGCUGUUUCUAAUUGUCUGACAAGCCUCGCUGGGGGAAGUGUUUCUGCCUGACAAUGAGAGAAGCGUGUAAGCUCCCACAAGGAAGUCUACACAGAGCUUGAAUGGCACUUCCUACAGGGAACCAGCCCAAGGUUGCUUGGAAAUCUCUGACCCAGCUUGGUGCACAGUCCGGCGGUUGGUGGAAGAGACCCCAUGUUUAGUGACCCAUUGGUUUUUCACAUCCUUGUUGCCGUAUAAACUGCAAUGCCCGGUAGGUGCAAUGGGACCACCACAGAAACAAACUGACCAGGAGCAAAGGCCUCAGCAGGUUCCUGAUGUACAGGCCAAUGCAUGCAUGAAAACCCUCAAGCCAAGACGCCCACUGGCCAGACUGCAAGGCAGGCAGAGAGCGCCACACUGCUCACCAAGCCAGAGGAACAACCAGCAAUGUGCUCUGAUGGGAAGGUCCUGCCCUGGUCUGUGUGGUGGGCACAUUCCUAAGGCCUGCACUGCUGACUCGGUGUGACAGGCUAUGGAAGGGCACGUCCCCGUUCCGAGCAGGAAAACCCAGAUGCAAUGAGCCUUUUUCUCUGCAUCCUGCUCCAGGCAGGGUGGGGAAUAUUUGCUUUGGUGGGCCUGGAAUUCACGGGGCCCUGGAGCAGCAGCAGCAGGUGAUGGGCUGCAACGUCGGCGCCACCCAACCAAUGGCUACGCCUAGAACUUCUGCGGCAGGACUUCCUCAGCAUUUCUUUGAAAUCCAGCUGUGGCCAGCUCCUCUCUAGCCGUCGAGUCGCCUGGGGCCUGUGGAUUCUGGUCACUCCUCUGCUGUCUGCUGAGAUGGUUUGCUGCUGCUUUGGCCAGAAGGAGAUUUAAACUUCUCCCCAAAGACGUUUCCAAAGCACCAUGUAUGGCUGGCUCUCAGUGCCAGCGCAUCGUCGCGCUCUGCCCCGGCUGUGCUCCUGACAGAAUAGCUGCCUGGCACGUCUUGAUGGACAGAAGUGACACCCCCCAUUGCAUGGAGCCAGCCCACCCCCCAGCCCUGCUGUUUCCUGGGGAGGGGCUGUGGCUGCUGCAGUUCCCUGCUGCUCCUGCAGUGAGAACAGGGGGUCUCAGGCGUGGGCCCAGAAGCUGCUGGAGAAGCUGUGGGACAGCCACAGUACGAUGUCAGCUGCGUGCAAUAGGGGGUGCAGCUGCCACGUAACAUCUGAAUAGGCCUGCUGCAGGAACAGGGGUCGCUUUGGAUUUCUGAACUGAAGCUGCAUCCAAGGAACAACCCAUCUCUCCAGCAGAGGGCGCUCAAAGCCACGUUUAUUCUUCAAGUGCUUGCGCAAAUCGAUUCCAGUUAGGGCCGGGCCAUGCCUCGGUCCCAGGGGUUCAAACGAUGUGGGGUUUGCCAAAAACUGAUGCCCAAAGGCCACCCACACACAGCCUGUCCUAAGUGCCCGGGUGAGUUCCACCAAACAGACAGGUGCAAGAUCUGCAGGAGUUUUCGUCCCCGCACUGAGAAGGAAAGGGGCCAUAGAUUAAAGUUGUUGGAGGCAACCCUGCAACCGCAAUCAGAGUCGAGCCCUGGGGAUCCAGCACCGGCCUCCUCUGUGUCAGUCUGCAGUGCACCAGCUUCAAUGAGGGAGGCUGCACCACCAAGGAAGGACUCUGGGACUAGAGACCCUCAGCACCAGCAUUCCCCGGCACCGAAGACAGCACCGCACACUGAGUCUCGGCACUGCUCCCAGUCACCGGUGCCUCGUGAGACGCACAGGAAGACUGACGGGGCACUCCCCCUCUCGAGCGCCGGAGCAUGAGACAGCAAAGGGAGUGCGACCCGUGCCGGGUCACUCCUCUCCAGCAGUACAACGAGCGGGCCCGUCGAGUUCGGGGCUGGUGGAAGAGGGACGGGAGGAGGACCUGGACCUUCCUUCUACCCCAGAGACUUUCAAGGCGGCCUUAUAGCCCUGAUUCACCUGCAUUCACCAGUGCCUGCUUCUUAAGCUUUGUAGACGGGGUUACUCACUACCAAUUCGCGGUCCUCCCGUUUGGCCUAUCAUCGGCACCUCGGGUGUUCACCAAAUGUAUGUCAGUCGUGGCCACCUUCCUGCGGAAAACACGUGUCCAGGUAUUCCCUUACCUCGACAGCUGGCUAGUGAAGGGCUGGUCCGGGACACAAGUGGAUCAACAGGUCACCCAGAUAAGAUCCACCUUAAUGAAUCUGUAAACUCAGGGGUUGUACCGUAUGACUGGAGAAUUGCUAACAUAAUUCCUGUUUUUAAGAAAGGGG